rnacentral:lncRNA from 1 species
ACCUCUACCACCCCAGCAGCUACUUCUGUGGUCAUGGAGAUCUUCUUGCACCAGGAUUACUGUAUGGUCUUCACCCAGCCUACCACCCCCUAGUUGCAGCCUUGGGUCCUGAUUUCCACCAAUGAAGUUUUUUAUCCUUUCUUGAAUCAUGUGACAUCACUUGUCCGCUGUUUCCCUUUCAGUUGCCAUUAGCAAUAAGUUCUUUUUGGUUUAAAGUACUGAGUUGUUUGCCUGUCCACUUACAUUCUAAGAGGUGAGACAGCUCACCUCUGCUCGCUGUGACUUUCAUAGGUACUCAUCAAGAGUCCUUGCCUUGAAGAGAGCGUUCACUCACUUGGCUGUCUGACACAGACAUCAACAGUCAGGCUGUGAGGCUUCCUGCUCCGUGUUUCUGUCUGUUAAGUGUGCAAGCCCGAGUAAAACUGUUUUCUUGAACGUAGC